rnacentral:rRNA from 1 species
CCCUUAGAUGUUCUGGGCCGCACGCGCGCUACACUGACGAAUGCAACGAGCUUAUAACCUUGGCCGAAAGGUCUGGGUAAUCUCCAAAUUUCGUCGUGAUGGGGAUAGAUUAUUGCAAUUAUUAAUCUUCAACGAGGAAUGCCUAGUAAGCGCAAGUCAUCAGCUUGCGUUGAUCACGUCCCUGCCCUUUGUACACACCGCCCGUCGCUCCUACCGAUUGAAUGGUCCGGUGAAGCGCUCGGACCGCGGCCUCUUGACGGUUCGCUGUCGAUUGGCUGUGGGAAGUUCGUUAAACCUUAUCAUUUAGAGGAAGGAGAAGUCGUAACA